CAUUAUCAUACAAACAAGAGGUGUCAGGGCUGUCGCUGACCCAAGGGGUCGUGCACGCUCUGGGCAUCCUCACACAAUCCACUUCACCUUUGUGCAUCAUCGCGUGGGGUUCCCCCUUUUCAUUCCAAAAGGGGCCCAUGUUUUUCACACAGACGCUGUAGUUAUAGAAUGCUUUUGUUUUGCAGUCACAUGCAACCAAAUAUAACUUUCAACAACGGAUCUCUUGGCUCUCGCAUCGAUGAAGAACGCAGCGAAAUGCGAUACGUAAUGUGAAUUGCAGAAUUCAGUGAAUCAUCGAAUCUUUGAACGCAUCUUGCGCCCCUUGGCAUUCCGAGGGGCACACCCGUUUGAGUGUCAUGAAACUCUCAACCCUUCUCCCUUUCUUGUNGAACCGGGAGGAUGGCUUGGACUUUGGAGGCUUCUGCCGGUUCCCAUCGGCUCCUCUUAAAGGAAUUAGUAGGGUCUCGUUUGCCGAUCCUUGACGUGAUAACGUUUGACGUCAUUUUGAGAGGCAGAGACUUUGCUUCCAACGGUCUCAUCAAGGGACACCGGUGAGAUUGAAAGAUCCCACCAAACCCCAUUGACCUCAAAUCGGGUGAGACUACCCGCUGAACUUAAGCAUAUCAAUAAGCGGAGGAAAAGAAACUAACAAGGAUUCCCCUAGUAACUGCGAGUGAAGCGGGAAAGGCUCAAAUUUAAAAUCUGAUGGUCUUUGAUCAUCCGAGUUGUAAUCUAGAGAAGCGUCUUCCGCGCCGGACCAUGCAUAAGUCUCCUGGAACGGAGCGUCAUAGAGGGUGAGAAUCCCGUCUUUGGCAUGGAACCUCCCGGGGCUUCUGUGAUGCGCUCUCGAAGAGUCGAGUUGUUUGGGAAUGCAGCUCAAAAUGGGUGGUGAACUCCAUCUAAAGCUAAACAUUGGCGAGAGACCGAUAGUGAACAAGUACCGUGAGGGAAAGAUGAAAAGCACUUUGGAAAGAGAGUGAAACAGUACGUGAAAUUGUUGAAAGGGAAACGCUUGGAGUCAGUCACGUCGACCGAGACUCAUCCAUCGCCUCUUUGGGCUUGGUGUACUUCUCGGCUGAUGGGCCAGCAUCAAUUUUGUCCCUCAGAUAAUGGCAGGGGAAAGGUGGCACCCUUAUGGGUGUGUUAUAGUCCCCCGUCGCAUGUGAGGGAUGGGAUUGAGGAACUCAGCACGCGCCUUUUGGCGUCCGGGGCUUUGGCCCACGCUUACGUGCUUAGGAUGCUGGCAUAAUGGCUCCAAACGACCCGUCUUGAAACACGGACCAAGGAGUCUAACAUGCCUGCAAGUGUUCGGGUGGAAAACCCGUGCGCGAAAUGAAAGUGAAAGUUGGGACCUCUGUCGUGGAGGGCACCGACGCCCGGACCAGACCUUCUGUGACGGAUCUGCGGUAGAGCAUGCAUGUUGGGACCCGAAAGAUGGUGAACUAUGCCUGAAUAGGGUGAAGCC
rnacentral:rRNA from 1 species